CCUGUGGAGCUGGACGGCGGCCGGGAAGGGUCAGUCUGUGUGAGGGCAGCCUUGGCUUUAGGGGUACAUCGUCUGGAGCCAGACGGGCAGGACCUUGGGAACGAGGGCCGGAAUCAAGCUGUGUCGGCCCGGAGUUAAGGGUUUGCAGAGCUUGUAGGGCGUCAGAGCCGGUGAAGUCCAUUGUAAGAUGGGGAAACUGAUACCCAGAAUGGGACAGUCACUACCUCGGGGACGCACUGUGGGGGUUCCCCACCUCCAGGAUGGGUGCCAAAUGACGAGUAUCAGGUGUCUAUUGGUGAGACUUGGGGAAGAUCCCAGACCUUAACAGCCGUUUGGUUGAGUCCCCUCACGGUGUGGCAGGUGAUGACCAACAAGGCAUCAAAGAGACAGAGUAACUGAGGGCUUUCACUCCAGCUGUCUGGCUGCAGAACUUAGAGAAAGAGCACAAGCAAGCGGAGCGGCA